rnacentral:rRNA from 1 species
GAAGGUCCAGGCGUUAUCCGGAUUUAUUGGGUUUAAAGGGAGCGUAGGCGGAUUGUUAAGUCAGCGGUUAAAGGGUGUGGCUCAACCAUACAUUGCCGUUGAAACUGGCGAUCUUGAGUGCAGACAGGGAUGCCGGAAUUCGUGGUGUAGCGGUGAAAUGCUUAGAUAUCACGAAGAACUCCGAUCGCGAAGGCAGGUGUCCGGGCUGCAACUGACGCUGAGGCUCGAAAGUGUGGGUAUCAAACAGGAUUAGAUACCCUGGUAGUCCACACAGUAAACGAUGUAUACUCGCGGUUUGCGAUAGACAGUAAGCCGCCAAGCGAAAGCAUUAAGUAUACCACCUGGGGAGUACGCCGGCAACGGUGAAACUCAAAGGAAUUGACGGGGGCCCGCACAAGCGGAGGAACAUGUGGUUUAAUUCGAUGAUACGCGAGGAACCUUACCCGGGCUUGAACUAACGGUGACGAAUCUAGAGAUAGAUUUUUCUUCGGACACCGUUGGAGGUGCUGCAUGGUUGUCGUCAGCUCGUGCCGUGAGGUGUCGGCUUAAGUGCCAUAACGAGCGCAACCCCUUUUCUUAGUUGCCAUCAGGUAAUGCUGGGCACUCUGGGAAUACUGCCACCGUAAGGUGUGAGGAAGGUGGGGAUGACGUCAAAUCAGCACGGCCCUUACGUCCGGGGCUACACACGUGUUACAAUGGGGGGUACAGAAGGCCGCUACCCGGCGACGGGAUGCAAAUCUUUAAAACCUCUCUCAGUUCGGAUCGGAGUCUGCAACCCGACUCCGUGAAGCUGGAUUCGCUAGUAAUCGCGCAUCAGCCAUGGCGCGGUGAAUACGUUCCCGGGCCUUGUACACACCGCCCGUCAAGCCAUGAAAGCCGGGGGUGCCUGAAAGCCGUGACCGCAAGGGUCGGCCUAGGGUAAAACCGGUGAUUGGGGCUAAGUCGUAACAAGGUAGCCGUACCGGAAGGUGCGGCUG